UAAAAAAAGAAAAUUUUUUGAUCGUAGGAGGGAUAGUUAUGCUCUAAAGUUGGAAAGGUGCAUUACCUAACGAUGAUAAGAUUCUUGAGUUCGAUUGAGUUAUGAUCAUUGCUUAGUUCACCCUUUGUUAAUUACACGCAUUGCGGGGACUCAAUAAUAGAUCUCUGGUUUGUCUGAGAAAGGAUUGAUGAAAUCUGAUUUGGGAGACAUCGAUUGUCGACGAUUAUGGGUGUGAUUGAUUUCUAAUAAUCAUAAGUGGAUCUUUGUUUGUGAGGAUUAUCCAAUUAUAUUAUUGUUGAUUCUGAUUUCUCAAGUUGUGUUUCAAUUAAAUAAGCUUAGUUUUAUAUGUCACAAUUUGCUUCAGCAUAGUUGAUCUAAUACAAAGGUAUUGUGGUUUUAUAGAUGAAACUGGCGAGCUUGACAGGGUUGUGUUGAUCCUGGGGUUUCUGUUGAUCUAUUUCUUCGUAGGAUGAAUAUAGGAUGAUAUGUUGGUAAUUAAAAACUGGCAAGGAUGUUUUCUUGGUACGUUGAUGUGGAUCAAGUUUUGUUGACAAAGUGCUCUCGACGCAUGACAGCACCUUGAGUUUGUGGGGUAAAAAUUAAACAACAUAAAA